UACAGAGGGGGCAAGCGUUGUUCGGAAUUACUGGGCGUAAAGGGCGCGUAGGCGGCCGCCUAAGUCAGACGUGAAAUCCCUCGGCUCAACCGGGGAACUGCGUCUGAUACUGGGCGGCUUGAAUUCGGGAGAGGAAUGCGGAAUUCCAGGUGUAGCGGUGAAAUGCGUAGAUAUCUGGAGGAACACCGGUGGCGAAGGCGGCAUUCUGGACCGACAUUGACGCUGAGGCGCGAAAGCUAGGGGAGCGAACGGG
rnacentral:rRNA from 1 species